rnacentral:miRNA from 1 species
GCAUCAAAGUCGGCUUGUCAU